rnacentral:misc_RNA from 1 species
UAAUAAUGUGUUUUAUGGCACUUUUUAAUCCAUAUCCACCUUGUGUGCAAUGUCAGUCGAUCUCAUUCAUGGAGAUCGACCACAACAUCAACCUUUAUCUUUUAACUCUUUGUCUGAAAAACAAUAUUAUGAAUAAACAAUUCAAAAUA